UCGGCAACGGAUAUCUCGGCUCUCGCAUCGAUGAAGAACGUAGCGAAAUGCGAUACUUGGUGUGAAUUGCAGAAUCCUGUGAACCAUCGAGUCUUUGAACGCAAGUUGCGCCCGAAGCCAUUAGGCCGAGGGCACGUCUGCCUGGGCGUCACGCAUCGCGUCGCCCCCCUCCUCGCGCU
rnacentral:rRNA from 1 species